CGUUUCGUUCAAUAUUGACUCCUGCUCUUCUUCCAAGCUAUACUCAGGUAAGUUUUUCUGGUCUCUCGCUUUGCAUUACAAUUGAGGUAGGGCUUGCAGUUGCAGAGAGAUAUAGAAGGAGGUGAACCAAAAUAUAUUCUUGGGUUAUUGCCUUUCAGCGACAACUAUAUAUUUUGGGUGGCUUCAGGCUCUACCAUCGCCGUAGAGAUUGAAAGGAGGUUUCUUGGGUGUGGCUAGAGGAUGUGGGUGGCAACACUUGGAUGUGUUUGCUUGGUUUGCUAAACUCGAUGGCAACACUUGGCUUUCAUUUUACAAAUUUCAUUUUGGAGCAGAGUUCCAAUUCGUAGAAGUUCCAAAAAGGGAGAAGCUGAAAAUAAUGAAAUCAGAAACAGAGAGAGAAGAAACGAAAAGGGAUGGUGAAGAGAGAGGAAGAAAAGAGA